UCGAUUGCAUUGGUCAUCAACCGUCUUUUUUACAUGACCACGGAAUCAAAAACAUCAACAACAGCAAAUGAUUGGCGUGUUACGAUCGAAAACACAGGGUAACUAGGCUUGGAGGUGUGGAGAGCGAAAGAGAAGAGCAAAUGAUUGGGAGUAGGAGAAGGGAGUCGUCAUGAGCAAGAGGAAGCAAGAGGGUUGCAGAGACAUUCGGCAAUGUUUUGCCUCGUCUCAGAAAAUAAGCAAAGAUGAAAGCAGUGUGUGUCAAUCUGGUAGUGACAGAGAGUAGAGCUAGUGAGCCAGCGGGAGAGACAGAAAGUUUGGAGGAUGAGAGUUUGUCAAUCUAGUGGUGGCAUAGAGUUGACACACAACUCUACACAGCAGCGUUGCAGUUGCUAAUAUAGCAAUAUAAUCAUUAUUAAGUCAAGUUUCAAGUAUAAUUUAUGUAUUCAUAGAUUAAUCCAUAACUAAUCAGAAAACAUUUAGGUUAUGUCCUUGACAUGUCUUUAACAGUGCAUCAUUCAUUACGGCUAAUGGUUUCACCAUGAGAUUAGCUCAGUGCGCUCUCUCAUGAAACUCAUCUAUGUAGGCCUACUUAUUAAACAAGUGGUUGAAAAUAUCAGAAAAUCUAUGUUUUCUGAGGGGUAACAAAAGUUUUGGGGUGACUUCUAUUUAGGUCCAUGAGAUAGAUGCACCUGGGUGGGUUUUACUCAACAUUGGCAAAUGUGAUUGUUAUGCAAUAAAAAAUGUAAUGGAAG
ensembl:lncRNA